AUGAGAGACCUUCUUAAGUAUUGCAAGAGAAGGGGCCUGCUGAUAGAGCUGGGCGAGAAGGCGAUACUAGUUAUCAGGUCAGAGAGAGGCCUGGCCCAUAAGCUGGCCACCUUUAAAAGCCAUUCCUUAUUAAUAAGGAUUUGUUACGCGCGAUAUGCCGACGACUUACUACUGGGAAUCGUGGGUGUCGUAUUUCUUCUCAUAGGAAUACAAAAAAGUAUCACCCACUUCCUACAAUCCAGUCUGAACCUUUGGGUAGGCUCUGCAGGAUCAACAACCAUAGAUGCACGGAGUACGGUAGAAUUCCCCGGUAUGGUCAUUCGGGAAGUCCCCCCGAGGACGACUCCCAUACAAUUCUCGCGAGAGCUGGAGAAGCAACGACGGGUAAAGCACCGUAUCCAUAUAACUGCUUGCCAUCUACACUCCGCCAUCCAUUCCAAGUUUAGGGACCUAGGUUAUAGUAUCCCUAUCAAAGAGCUAACGAAGGGGAUGAGCGGAAGAGUUUGUCUACUGGAUGCGGUUCAACUAGCGGAGACUCUUGGAAAAGAUGGACUAAAAAGUCCCCAAGUUAGCAUAUUAUGGGGGACCGUCAAGCACAUCCGGCAAAGAACGAGGAGGAUCUCGUUAUUGCCUAGCUCAGGUCAGAGCAAGGUGCCAUCAGGCAUUCAACAGGCAGUAUCAUGA
rnacentral:rRNA from 1 species